GAUGAACGCUGGCGGCGUGCCUAAUACAUGCAAGUCGAGCGAACGGACGAGAAGCUUGCUUUUCUGAUGUUAGCGGCGGACGGGUGAGUAACACGUGGAUAACCUACCUAUAAGACUGGGAUAACUUCGGGAAACCGGAGCUAAUACCGGAUAAUAUUUUGAACCGCAUGGUUCAAAAGUGAAAGACGGUCUUUCUGUCACUUAUAGAUGGAUCCGCGCUGCAUUAGCUCGUUGGUAAGGUAACGGCUUACCAAGGCAACGAUGCAUAGCCGACCUGAGAGAGUGAUCGGCCACACUGGAACUGAGACACGGUCCAGACUCCUACGGGAGGCAGCAGUAGGGAAUCUUCCGCAAUGGGCGAAAGCCUGACGGAGCAACGCCGCGUGAGUGAUGAAGGUCUUCGGAGCGUAAAACUCUGUUAUUAGGGAAGAACAUAUGUGUAAGUAACUGUGCACAUCUUGACGGUACCUAAUCAGAAAGCCACGGCUAACUACGUG
rnacentral:rRNA from 1 species